GGCACAGAUAGCAGUCGUGGAUGAAUUAUUUCCCUUCUUAAGCAUCAGCUCUUUAAAACACUAUGGUGAUUUGGAAAGUCCCGAGAGUGAACUGUGAAGUUUUCUUCAUCUCAAUCAAUGGGUUUCUUAAGCAUUUCUCCAAAUCAUUGAUGUUCAGAGAUGAUGUGUGAUGGAAAAAACACCCUGUCUGUGUGUUUAUAGCCCCUGAUUUUUGGAUUAGUUUGCUGUGUUGCUGAACCGAUUUUGUUUCGAGGGCAAGGAGUGAAUGUGAUGGAUUUAUCUUCAGAGAUGAACAAACAUGGAAGGAAUCCAGUAAGUCACAAACUAGAAGAUCAAAAGAAGGUCUUUGCUGGGCUGCCAAACAUCUGGAAACCUUGGACAAACAGCUCUUGCACAUGGAUAGAUUCUAUUGCAGUGAGUCCAACACGUCAGGGUUUGUCCGAGUUGCUCCAUACAAGCUAUGUUUGUCAAGUGUGCUCCAUGGAAUCCAAAUCCAACUAGAGGAUUCAGACCUCUCUCUGAGACAUAGAUUUCUUUGAGGAAAGAUCCAGUACCAAAAAUCUGAGAAUAUAUACAUUCAGAAUAAACCUUAUGUUGUAGAGUUGGGGAUGUUAACA
rnacentral:lncRNA from 1 species